rnacentral:rRNA from 1 species
CGACCGUACCGCAAACCGACACAGGUGGGUAGGAUGAGAAUUCUAAGGCGCUUGAGAGAACUCGGGUUAAGGAACUCGGCAAAUUGACACCGUAACUUCGGGAGAAGGUGUGCCCCGGUAGGUUGUAGUCCCUCGCGGACGAAGGCCGAUGGGGUUGCAGUGAAAAGGUGGCUGCGACUGUUUAAUAAAAACACAGCACUCUGCAAACACGAAAGUGGACGUAUAGGGUGUGACGCCUGCCCGGUGCCGGAAGGUUAAGUGAUGGGGUGCAAGCUCUUGAUCGAAGCCCCGGUAAACGGCGGCCGUAACGAUAACGGUCCUAAGGUAGCGAAAUUCCUUGUCGGGUAAGUUCCGACCCGCACGAAUGGCGUAACGAUGGCCACACUGUCUCAACCCGAGACUCAGCGAAGUUGAAAUGUUUGUGAAGAUGCAAUCUCCCCGCUGCUAGACGGAAAGACCCCGUGAACCUUUACUGUAGCUUUGCAUUGGACUUUGAACAGACUUGUGUAGGAUAGGUGGGAGGCUU